GUACUCACUUUGGUAGCACACAUACUAAAUUUGGAAAUGGUACAGAGAAGAUUAACAUGGCCUUAGAUCAAGGACGAAAUACAAAUUUGUGAAGCAUUCCAUAUUUUA
ensembl:snRNA U6 U6 spliceosomal RNA